UACGAAGGUGUCAAACGUUGUCCGGAAUUACUGGGCGUAAAGGGCGCGUAGGCGGUUGGAUAAGUCAGAUGUGAAAGCUCAGGGCUCAACCCUGAGAUUGCAUCUGAUACUGUCUGACUUGAGUUCGGUAGAGGAGGGCGGAAUUCCUGGUGUAGCGGUGAAAUGCGUAGAUAUCAGGAGGAACACCUGUGGCGAAGGCGGCUCUCUGGUCCGAUACUGACGCUGAGGCGCGAAAGCUAGGGUAGCAAACAGG
rnacentral:rRNA from 1 species